UGGGGAAUCUUGCACAAUGGGGGCAACCCUGAUGCAGCGACGCCGCGUGAGCGAUGAAGCCCUUCGGGGCGUAAAGCUCUUUCGGCCAGAACGAUAAUGACGGUGCUGGAAGAAGAAGCUGCGGCUAACUACGUGCCAGCAGCCGCGGUAAUACGUAGGCAGCGAGCGUUGUUCGGAGUUACUGGGCGUAAAGCGUGCGUAGGCGGUCUUGCAAGUCUGGUGUGAAAUCUCCCGGCUCAACUGGGAGGGUGCGCCGGAAACUGCAAGGCUGGAGUAUGGGAGAGGUAGGCGGAAUUCCUGGUGUAGCGGUGAAAUGCGUAGAUAUCAGGAGGAACACCUGUGGUGUAGACGGCUUACUGGACCAUCACUGACGCUGAGGCACGAAAGCGUGGGGAGCAAACAGG
rnacentral:rRNA from 1 species